AAAACAGUUUACAAAUUACAACAUUAAGAGAAGUACUUUCACUGUAUGUUUAACCACAUAAAGAAAGGAUUAAAACUGAAAGAAUUAUCUACUCACUAAUCACAAACUUCAAGGCUUAUAAAAGUUAAGGUUUACUUCCUAUACUUUCUGUAUUCAAAAUUUUCUUACUCAACUAAUAAUUUUCUCUAGGAGGUCUUAGCUACCCUAAAAUCAUAGUAUUGUAUGAAAAAUAUAUUCAGAACCCAUCUGCCUCAAGUACUUCUGCAACAAGAGGUGUACUGCUGGCAAAUUCCAAUAACUCUUCAGUUCUACCAGCCAUUUCUUACAACAAUGAGGAAAUAUGAAAUUUACACCUCACUGGAUUUGCUUGGUAGAAAUUAGGAGUUACUGGGAUAAACUGAAAUCUUGGGUUUUAAAAACAUUUCUGAUUUUAUGGCACAAUUACUUCCUACAAAGAAAAAGUGUUCUUGAAGACAGACAGAUUUGAUUAAGGAUAAAAACUGAAUUCCAGCUGAAAGUUGGAAUUGCUAAAGUCACAACAUGUUCAUAAAAUUUGUUGUACUGUAAUAUGUUCUGCUGCAGAUAAAGUCUUACAGAUUUUACUAUUCCAUUUUGUCUUUAAACAAAUUUACUCAAUCCAAAACCGGUAACUAUUUUCAUUUCAAUUGUCUGUGUAAAUGGUUAGUUAAGACUAUUCGUAUAUGAGUAGAUAGGUUAUGAUUACUCUGAAUGGAUUUCUCAGUUUCAGCCGAAUGAGUACUUUUAGUGCAAAGCAGGACUUGCAAUAUGAGUGUAGUACAGUCCAUAUUAAUUCCUCUUAAUUGUUCAGUGUUCUGCUAUAUAAUAUCUGUUUGUCAACAAAUAAGAUAGAUAAAUUUUCUGAAUAUUCUGGAACAGAUGGACGGAUCUGAAAACCUGUUCUUUUUUUCUGUUUUCUGCUUUGCUUGUCAGGUAGCUACUUUAUUAAUGUCUUUAAAACCAAAUUUUACACACUACAUGGAAAUUCACUCAGCUAGCUCUCUAUUCUAUUCUUUAACACACCCUCCCAACAAAAAGAAAAGUUAUUGAAAAAUAAUUUUUUAUAUCAUCCAUACUUUGUUUUUGGAUUAGCAACAUUUCAGUUGGAGUAAUUCCCAAGACAGAAAUAUGAGAACAAUAGUAUAUGGAGAAUUUAUAUAGCUCAAAUGGAUCAAGGCUGUUGCAAACUCAGCUUUUUAUACAUAUUUUUGGCCACUUCAUUUCCUUCUGAGCACAGUCUGUAUUAAUACUUUUAAUUAGUGUUUUAUAAUUUUACAGGAGAAGUGUAAAGAAGAAUUAUUUUAACAAAUAAUAAAUUCUUGAACAAUCCCAUUAGAACUGGCCUAUUUUGAAUAGUCUGAAUAAGUUAUACUACUGUGUACAUUUUUUUAAAUAAAGAACAUAUGUAAUAAGAGAAAUGUUAAUAUAAUAUAUACCAUGCUCAUGCUCCAUCAACCUUCCAGAGAGUUUUUCAAUCACAGGAGUAAGCCAUUCUCCAAAAUCAGCUCUCUAUUGAAAGGUCAAAACCUGCAAUAAAAAUGUCAUGUAUUAUAACAUAUUUCCAACACCCACAGUUUCAUGGUUGAUCCCCAAACAUAGAUGUAGGUCAUCAGCUUGACCCUCGCAUUGUCUAGGUUACAGGAAAUCUUAAUUUUAAAAAUACUUUUUUUUUAAAACCAAACUGACUUGAUUAGGAACACCUGUGAUAUGCCUCUUUAUUAUCAGAAGCCUCCUGAAACAAAUCAGAUUAGCAUGUUUCUGCUUUCAUUCUACCCACAGCAUUUUAAGAUGAAAGUAAGAGGAAGGAGAAAAAAAAAAAAAAA
ensembl:lncRNA